GUGGUCACUUCAACAGCACAUGUACUAAAAUUNGAAUGAUACAGAGAAGAUUAGCAUGGGCUCUGCACAAGGAUGACACACAAAUUCAUGAAACACUCCAUGUUUUA
rnacentral:snRNA from 1 species